UCCCUCUUAGCUCAGUGGUAGAGCGCGUCACUAGUAUAUUAUACUGCGGGAUUCCGAAUGUGUAUAUGACGAGGUCAGUCGUUCAAGUCGGCUAGAGGGAA